AUACGGAGGGUGCGAGCGUUAAUCGGAAUUACUGGGCGUAAAGCGUACGUAGGCGGUUGGUUAAGUUAGAUGUGAAAGCCCCGGGCUUAACCUGGGAACUGCAUUUAAAACUGGCGAACUAGAGUUGAUUAGAGGGGAGUGGAAUUUCAGGUGUAGCGGUGAAAUGCGUAGAGAUCUGAAGGAACACCAGUGGCGAAGGCGACUCCCUGGACUCGAACUGACGCUGAGGUACGAAAGCGUGGGUAGCAAACGGAAUUAGAUACCCGAGUAGUCC
rnacentral:rRNA from 1 species